rnacentral:lncRNA from 1 species
UUUCUUUUAUUAAAUUAAGUGUGCAGAAUCCCAGUUUUCUCUUGAGAGACUGUUUUCUUUAAUCACCACAAUAUGACUGUGUUUGUCUCUUCUAAUGAAUUCUCCUUAGAAGCCUUUCAUCAGACCGUGUCUGCUUUCUCAGGAGUGUCUCCAGUGUCCUUUAAGCCCUUCUUCUGUAUGCUGAUGAUUGUAUCAGUUAUGCCUGUGGUUUCAGAGGUGUGGUUUUGUUUGUUUGUUUUUGAGACAGUGUCUCACCAUACAACCCUGACUGUCUGGAUAUUGCUAUGUAGACCAUAGAACUCAGAAAUAUGUAGACCAUAGCCUCAAACUCAGAAAAAUGCCUGCCCCUGCCACCAGAAUGCUGGGAUUAAACGUGUGUGACACCAAGCCUGGCUUGUGUAAUUACUUCUUAGCUAUUGCUUGCCUUUUUGCUACUGUUUCCUGCAAGCUCUCUUUCCACCCCUUGGUUUCUCUAUUCAGUGAAGAAUUAAUGUAGUGACAACUUCAGAAUUUUGGUUUCUUUAAAAACACAGAAAUAUUAUAAGAAUGUGUUUUCAUUUUAAACCAAGGAGUGGAGAUAUGGGACACUUCAGACUGUCCAAAGCAGCUGACUACGAUUUGCCUCAUGCUCUAGCAGAGGUAUGGUAUUGCCAGCCGCAGAUAGUUUCUGCGAUAUUGUGUGAUACUGUGAUGUCUCUGUGACAUUCGGAAUUCUGAGAACUUUUCGGAGGGUACAUGAAUGCUAGCUCCCCAGGAGCUGGAGCAGGUGCUCGUUGGCCAUUUAGGGAGGUUGGUUUGUAAUUGCUGUGGUCAAAGAAGAAACAAAAGGAAAGACAUUAGAUUUAGGAAUUCAUUCUCUCUCUCUCUCUCUCUCUCUCUCUCUCUCUCUCUCUCUCUCUCUCUCUCUCCCUCCCUCCCUCCCUCCCUCCCUCUUUCCUAUUUAGUGAUGGGGUGAAAUGGGGUGGGGUGCGGGGGUAAAGGGUGGGAAAAGAAGAAUCCACAAAGUAGCAAAGACCAGCUACAAAUUACAGAAUGAAAAGUUUGCAGUCUACAUGCAGAAGAUUAUUAUUAUUAAGAUUAUUAUUGCUCCAGAUUGCCCAAAGCUAUUUAGGGAGACCCUGUUUAAAAAACAAAAAAGC